rnacentral:rRNA from 1 species
UACGUAGGGUGCGAGCGUUAAUCGGAAUUACUGGGCGUAAAGCGUGCGCAGGCGGGCUUUUAAGCCAGACGUGAAAUCCCCGGGCUUAACCUGGGAAUGGCGUUUGGGACUGGAAGUCUGGAGUGCGGCAGAGGAGACUGGAAUUCCUGGUGUAGGCAGUGAAAUGCGUAGAUAUCAGGAGGAACACCGAUGGUGAAGGCAGGUCUCUGGGCUGACACUGACGCUCAUGCACGAAAGCGUGGGGAGCAAACGAGGAUAGAAACC